UGCUCUUCAAUACCUUGUUGGUAAUCGUCCUCUCUGUGUCAGGAGAAUACUACUGUGAAGCAGCGAAUGGGAUGGGGACAAACACCUCUCCUCCUAAACGUCUUGAUGAGCAGUAUCCUCCGAAGAGUGUCUCAGUAGCAGUGAGCCCCUCUGG